AAUGAUUAUGUUUUGAUUAUCUUAAUGAAAUUUUUAUUUUUUCCCUUAUAUAUUGGUAAAGGAGUAUAUUACAAAAUAACAUGUUUUUAUUUUUAAUAUUAUAAAUUUAUAAGUAAAUAUUUAACUAUUUAAACUUUUUAAAUUCAUCUAUUUUGGAAACUAAAGAAUAUUAUACAGAUUGAAACUAACACUAUUUAUUUUCUUUGCAAGUUUGGUCGCCAAGACACCUUACCUGUAAAAUAAUUUUAAAUUGAC
rnacentral:lncRNA from 1 species